AGGAGGGCGGGCUCGGCUUCGCCUGUUACUCGAAUGCCGCACUGGGCGGCGACUGGCUGCUGCAGCCCGCGCUGCAGAACGCGCGC
rnacentral:SRP_RNA from 1 species